GAGGGGAGGUAUAUCCAACAAGAACUGCUAAUUCCUGCAUCUGGGCUUAAAACCCCAGUCCCCUUA
rnacentral:tRNA from 1 species